rnacentral:rRNA from 1 species
UACGUAGGGGGCAAGCGUUGUCCGGAUUUAUUGGGCGUAAAGAGCGUGUAGGCGGCCAGGUAGGUCAGCUGUGAAAACUCGAGGCUCAACCUCGAGACGCCGGUUGAAACCAUCUGGCUAGAGUCCGGAAGAGGAGAGUGGAAUUCCGUGGUGUAGCGGUGAAAUGCGCAGAUAUCAGGAAGAACACCCCGUGGCUAAGGCGGCUCUCUAGUACGGUACUGACGCUGAGACGCGAAAGCGUGGGGAGCGAACAGG